UACGUAGGGUGCGAGCGUUAAUCGGAAUUACUGGGCGUAAAGCGUGCGCAGGCGGUGGUGCAAGACAGAUGUGAAAUCCCCGGGCUCAACCUGGGAACUGCAUUUGUGACUGCACGGCUGGAGUGCGGCAGAGGGGGAUGGAAUUCCGCGUGUAGCAGUGAAAUGCGUAGAUAUGCGGAGGAACACCGAUGGCGAAGGCAAUCCCCUGGGCCUGCACUGACGCUCAUGCACGAAAGCGUGGGUAGCAAACAGG
rnacentral:rRNA from 1 species